AGAGUAUGAUCUUGGCUCAGAUUGAACGCUGGCGGCAUGCUUUACACAUGCAAGUCGAACGGCAGCACGGGCUUCGUGCCUGUUGGCGAGUGGCGAACGGGUGAGUAAUGCAUCGGAACGUGCCCAUUUGUGGGGGAUAACUACCCUGAAAGCGUGGCUAAUACCGCAUACGCCCUGAGGGGGAAAGCGGGGGAUUCUUCGGAACCUCGCGCACUUGGAGCGGCCGAUGUCAGAUUAGCUUGUUGGUGAGGUAAAGGCUCACCAAGGCGACGAUCUGUAGCGGGUCUGAAAGGAUGAUCCGUCACACUGGGACUGAGACACGGCCCAGACUCCUACGGGAGGCAUCAGUGGGGAAUUUUGGACAAUGGGGGCAACCCUGAUCCAGGCCUUUCCGCGUGAGUGAAGAAGGCCUUCGGAUUGUACAGCUCUUUCAGACGGGAACAAAUGCGCUCUCUAACAUACGGUGUGGAUGACGGUCCGGAGAUAAGCCCGGCUAACUACCUGGCACACCCCCGUAAUACUAGGUGCGAGCGUCAAUCCCAUUACGGCCUAAGAGUGCGCNGCGGCUCUAAACCAUGUGAAUCCCGGGUUCCUGUAACUGUUUGAAAAUCCAGGUGUAUCNCGCAGGGG
rnacentral:rRNA from 1 species